rnacentral:rRNA from 1 species
UACGUAGGGGGCGAGCGUUGUCCGGAUUCAUUGGGCGUAAAGAGCUCGUAGGCGGUUCAGUAAGUCAGGUGUGAAAGCUCCGAGCUCAACUCGGAGACGCCAUCUGAUACUGCUGUGACUAGAAUCCAGUAGGGGAGUGUGGAACUCCUGGUGUAGCGGUGGAAUGCGCAGAUAUCAGGAAGAACACCAGCGGCGAAGGCGGCACUCUGGGCUGGUAUUGACGCUGAGGAGCGAAAGUGUGGGUAGCAAACAGGAUUAGAUACCCUGGUAGUCCACACCGUAAACGUUGGGCACUAGGUGUGGGGAGGAAUCAACCCUCUCCGUGCCGUAGCUAACGCAUUAAGUGCCCCGCCUGGGGAGUACGGCCGCAAGGCUAAA